rnacentral:lncRNA from 1 species
GGAGUUCUAAUGUCACUAUGGCAACAAGGGACAUGGAUUUGGGGCUCUGCAAAGAGGGGAGCCGAAUGUGAGACUUGAAUAAAGUGAGGUCUCUCAAAGGGAACAGAAGCAGAAAGGUUUCCCACUAGCACAGAUGAGUCUGGGCUCUCGAACUCAGCCAGAAAAGCUCCUAUGAAACCCAAGAGAGCUCCUACACAGAGAAGGAGAAGCAAGCACUUAAGGUAGGCUGAAGCCAGCAGUUAAUGCCUGCAAGUUGGUCACCAUGGAAACAACACAAGAAAAUCUCCCUCCACUACCUCAUUCUUUAAUAUCUGAAAUUUUAAAUUUACAAAAUUAAGAUACAAAGAAUCAAUCAUGAAGUUGAAGUUUAUAUGAGUGCUUUCUGCUGUUGCAUGUUGCUCAAGGUACAGUAAAACCUUAACAUCGGGUUGACGACUGUAACUUUAAAAAAAAAAAAAAAAA